rnacentral:rRNA from 1 species
CGCUCGCCGGAAGACCAAGGGUUCCUGUCCAACGUUAAUCGGGGCAGGGUGAGUCGACCCCUAAGGCGAGGCCGAAAGGCGUAGUCGAUGGGAAACGGGUUAAUAUUCCCGUACUUGGUGUUACUGCGAAGGGGGGACGGAGAAGGCUAUGUUGGCCGGGCGACGGUUGUCCCGGUUUAAGCGUGUAGGUGUGUGUUCCAGGUAAAUCCGGUUCACUUUAACACUGAGGCGUGACGACGAGGCACUACGGUGCUGAAGCAACAAAUGCCCUGCUUCCAGGAAAAGCCUCUAAGCAUCAGGUAACAUCAAAUCGUACCCCAAACCGACACAGGUGGUCAGGUAGAGAAUACCAAGGCGCUUGAGAGAACUCGGGUGAAGGAACUAGGCAAAAUGGUGCCGUAACUUCGGGAGAAGGCACGCUGACACGUAGGUGAAGUGAUUUACUCAUGGAGCUGAAGUCAGUCGAAGAUACCAGCUGGCUGCAACUGUUUAUUAAAAACACAGCACUGUGCAAACACGAAAGUGGACGUAUACGGUGUGACGCCUGCCCGGUGCCGGAAGGUUAAUUGAUGGGGUCAGCGCAAGCGAAGCUCCUGAUCGAAGCCCCGGUAAACGGCGGCCGUAACUAUAACGGUCCUAAGGUAGCGAAAUUCCUUGUCGGGUAAGUUCCGACCUGCACGAAUGGCGUAAUGAUGGCCAGGCUGUCUCCACCCGAGACUCAGUGAAAUUGAACUCGCUGUGAAGAUGCAGUGUACCCGCGGCAAGACGGAAAGACCCCGUGAACCUUUACUAUAGCUUGACACUGAACAUUGAGCCUUGAUGUGUAGGAUAGGUGGGAGGCUUUGAAGUGUGGACGCCAGUCUGCAUGGAGCCGACCUUGAAAUACCACCCUUUAAUGUUUGAUGUUCUAACGUGGACCCGUUACCCGGGUUGCGGACAGUGUCUGGUGGGUAGUUUGACUGGGGCGGUCUCCUCCUAAAGAGUAACGGAGGAGCACGAAGGUUGGCUAAUCCUGGUCGGACAUCAGGAGGUUAGUGCAAUGGCAUAAGCCAGCUUGACUGCGAGCGUGACGGCGCGAGCAGGUGCGAAAGCAGGUCAUAGUGAUCCGGUGGUUCUGAAUGGAAGGGCCAUCGCUCAACGGAUAAAAGGUACUCCGGGGAUAACAGGCUGAUACCGCCCAAGAGUUCAUAUCGACGGCGGUGUUUGGCACCUCGAUGUCGGCUCAUCACAUCCUGGGGCUGAAGUAGGUCCCAAGGGUAUGGCUGUUCGCCAUUUAAAGUGGUACGCGAGCUGGGUUUAGAACGUCGUGAGACAGUUCGGUCCCUAUCUGCCGUGGGCGCUGGAGAACUGAGGGGGGCUGCUCCUAGUACGAGAGGACCGGAGUGGACGCAUCACUGGUGUUCGGGUUGUCAUGCCAAUGGCACUGCCCGGUAGCUAAAUGCGGAAGAGAUAAGUGCUGAAAGCAUCUAAGCACGAAACUUGCCCCGA